GUUUUUCAAGCUUGUCGCUCAUAAGGCUCAUUCCGUAAAGGAACAUUGCGAGACCGCCGAAAAGCUGAAUGACAUUGAACACUGACAUUUAAUGCUCAUCCUUUCAUUGUACCGUUGCGCCUGACUGCGUAUCCAAGCGGUUUCCCAAACCGCACGGUACUUUUCAUAAAAAAACACAUUUUCUCACACGCAGUUAUUGUAACACAAAUAAGUGAAUUUCAAAUAGUCCUAUUGUAAAAUUUACGUAAAAUAUGAUAAAUCUGUUUAAAAAUAUGUACAGCAGCCUUUACAGACUUUUCGUGGAACGCAUUUAAGCGGCAUAUAUCUGUAUAGAUUUCUUUAAAAAAUGUGAAAAAAAUUUAAAAUAUUUUUUUUAAAGGUUCUUGUUUAUAUAGGAAAACCCACUGAACUGAAGCAUCUCAAUAAGUGGAGGAAAAUAAACUAACUAGGAUACUCUUAGUAAGUGCGACCGAAGAGAGUAAAGCUCAAUAAUCUAAACUUUAAAUUUUUAUAAUUUAAAGUCAUGUGAUUUUCUAAACUCAUUGAAAUUUUUAUAAAUUAUGAUUGAAUUCAUAACUAUAAAGAGUUAUAGUCUCGUUAUAUUGAAAUUUCAAGCAUGGGAAUUAGAAUUAAAGAGUCGGGUAGCUUGAGAAUGCUGCCUUAAUAUAGGUGGUACACCCCAUCUAAAGCUAAAUAUUGUAAAGAGACCGAUAGCAUACAAGUAGUGUGAACGAAAGAUGAAAAGAACUCCUAAACGGAGAAUUAAAAGCGCCUGAACUUGUCUAGGUUUUCGCAUUUCUUUAAUGCGCCCGUCUUGAAACACGGAUUAGGGAGUUUUACUUAAAUACGAGUCUUUAACUUUUAAAGUAAUUUUUUUAAAAAAGGCGAAAAGAAAUUAACUGGUUUUUUAACAUGGCUAUAGAGUAUUUAAGUCAAAACCCGAAUGGAGGUGAACUAUUCCUGCAAAGAUUGAAGUCAGGGGAAACUCUGAUGGAAGAUCGUUGGCGUUAUUGAUGUGCAAAUCAUUUGCUUUAUGUAGGUAUAGGUGCGAAAGACUCAUCGAACCUCCUAAUAGCUGGUUUCCUCCGAAGUUUCCCUCAGGAUAGCUGUAACAUUUUUAAAUAGUUAAGGAUAGUAGAGAAAUGGGUAGAGGUGUAGUGGAACUACGGUUCUGCAACUUAUUUCCAAACUUCGAACGUUCUUGAUAUAAAAAAUUACCUAAUAGGAAUUUUUUAUUUAAAUAUAUGUUAUAAGUGGGCUCUGACCGGUAAGCGGUCAUGGCGAAAAGGGAUGAACCUAACGUAUAAAUAAGGUGCCUAAAUUUACUAACAAUGAAACCAUUAAAAGAGUCCAUGUAUUUAGACAGCGGGUCGGUGCCCCUAAAAGCAGGUAUCCGUUAAUGAGUGUGUUAAAACUCCCCCGCCGAAUACUCUGGCCUUGAAAAUGAAUGGCGCAUAUAGUAAUACCGAUAUUAUACAUUAAAAUUAUUUCAAAAUUUUAAAAGUAGGGGGAUGUGGAUAUCUUAGAGAAUUUUUAAUUGUAAAAUUGAAUUGAAAGAUAUCUAUUACAGAUCCUAAUUGAAGUAGCGAUUAUCCAGGUUAAUCUCCUGGGGGCUGAUGAGGAGUAGGGUUUCUGGGCAACUUAAACGGACCCAGAGUUAGUCGAUCCUAAUCAAAUUAAAUUUAGAGAAAGGGAAUAUGAAUGAUAUUUCAUAACUAAAAUUAAUUUUUAAAUGGUGACAUUUUUUUAAACUUAUUUCCAUCAAUUAAAUACUGUUUAAUAGGGAUUUCUUUCCUAUAUAACUUUUUAAUUAAAACUUAAGAAACAGGUUAACUGGAGAAUAAAGUUUUAAUUUAGUAAAAUUAUAAUUUCGAUUAUAAUAACGGCUAUUUAAAUGAUCCAUGAAACAAUAAGUUUAUUUUUUCAAAAAUUAAUUUAAUCGUACCGAUAACCGCAUCAGGUCUCCAAGGUGAGUAGCUUCUGGCCAUUGAGUAAUGGUAAUUUAGGGAAUUCGGCCAAUUAGAGCUGUAACUUCGGGAUAAAGCUUGGCUCUGAUGGAAAUCAGAACCGAUAGUUACAAGGAGAGCCCAACUGUUUAAUAAAAACUUAGUGUCGCGUCAUACCUUUAUAAGUAAUAAACGUGACAUGAAUCCUGCUCAGUGCUGUGUUUGUUAAACUGGAUUAAUCCAUUUAAGCGCCGGUAAAUAGCUGGGGUAACUAUGACUCUUAUCAAAGUAGCGAAAUACCUCGUCACUUAAUUAGUGACCUGCAUGAACGGAGCUAUGAGGUUCUCACUGUCCCAAAUUAUCACUCAGCGAACCAACAGUUGUGGGAACGGGCACAAAUUAUCCAGCGGGGAAAGAAGACCCUGUAGAGCUUCACUUUGGUCUAAUCUUGUAUAGUUUCGUUAGGGGUGCAGUCUAGGUGGGAGAUUUUUAAUCAAAUAUGAGAAACCACUACCCUUUCUGGAAUUAUACUUACUAAAAUUCUUUUCUAAAUUUUAGGAUCGGAUUAGAUAGAAAGUUUGGCUGGGGCGGCACACCUUCGAAAAAGCAGCGAAGGUGUCCUAAGUUAAGCUCAGUAAGGACAGAAAUCUUACGUUGAGGAUAAGGCCAAAAGCUUAAUUUACUGUGCCUUUUUGUACUAGGAUCAGUUUGGAAACAAAGGCCUAACGAUCCCUAAUUAGUCUUAGGUGUGUAAGACUUGGGGUGACAGACAAGUUACCUCCGGGACAACUGGCUUGUGGCUGCUAAGAGAUCAAAUCAACGCAGCUUUUUGAUUCUUCGAUGUCGGCUCUUCCUAUCCUAGUGAUGUACAAGUCACUAAGGGUUGGAUUGUUCACCCGUAUUAGGGAUCGUGAGCUGGGUUUAGACCGUCGUGAGCCAGGUUUGUUUUAUCCUACUGGAUAUAAUUUAGCAUCUUGAUAGUAGUUUGAUUUAGUACGAGAGGAACUGUUGAAUAUGGUCUCUGGUUUGGGAAUUUUAUGAAAAUAAAAGUUCCAAAGCUACGCCGUCUGAGAUAAUGGCUGAAGGCCUCUUAAGCCAGAAACUCAUCUAAAAAUAGAUGCUUUAAACUAUUUAAAAG
rnacentral:rRNA from 1 species